CACAAUAAUUUGAAAUAAUGUUUAAAAUGUAUUAACAUUUUAUAACAAGUCUGGUUGUAUUAGAUAUAAACAUGACUCUGCCUUGUCAUUGGAUUUUUUCCCCUACCCUUAAUUCCAAAAUGGUGGAAGAUAAUGGCAGCUCUGCCUUCUUGUUAAGCCACUACGCUUGAGCAGACGGCCAUUUUCAAAGAUAGCGGCGUGGUUUAAACUUCAGGCCUUUUAAGAUCUACAUAGGGACCAAAUAGUGUCAAACAAUAUCGUUGUUGUCCACUCGCGAUUUUUUUAUAAAAGAAUUGCAGUCACGGGUAAACUCUGACGGUCGAUCGGAUGAAGAAGAGCGUGACAUCCUGGUAGGAAAGUCGAAAAGUCCGACAAAGAUGAGAUCAAUUUACAUACAGGAUGCAACGGUGGACAGAGUAAAAGUGGCUUUGUGGAGAAACACCAACAAAGACGUCAGAACUGGGGAUUACGUCAAAAUCACUGAUUUGACAAUACACACUUACCAAACAAAGUACACAACUGAAACCAGCUUCAAUUCUACCUACACAACUUCAGUUACUAAAGUCGAACAACCAACUGUACAUGUGACGGUUACAGUAAUAGGUGCCUGUGUACAAGAUGACGUUACAGAACUUCUCCUCAGUGAUGACUCUGUGAGGGCAAUACCUUCACAAUUAUUAAUGGCUGCCCUUCCACAAGAACUUGAUGAAGACUUGGAUCCAGAAUCUUUCUUUGCAGAGAGAAAAACAAACUUAAGGCUGCAAUUAAAAGGAUCAGAAGUACUUUCAGUGAUACUUCAGUAAACUGUUAUACAUAUACAUGACAUUAUUCAGCAUUCCUAGUUUACCUUGUUUUUCAUAGUGUUUUUUUUAUAUAAAUCUACUACUUUUUCAUACAUUUUACAACAAGCUCCUACUUUUCCUAGUUAUGCCCCUCUUCGAAGAAGGGGGAUAUUGCUUUGCACAUGUUAGUGUGUUGGUCUGUCUGUCCGUCCACCACAUGAUUGUCUGAUGAUAACUCAAGAACGCUUAGGCCUAGGAUC